ensembl:lncRNA
UUUAUUGUUGGUCUGUUUGGCCGGUCGCCAAAGACUCUGCCCCUGUUUGGCCACCCACCCGGCCGGUCGCCAAAGACUCUGCCCCUGUUUGGCCACCCACCCGGCCGGUCGCCAAAGACUCUGCCCCUGUUUGGCCAUCCACCCGGUCGGUCGUCAAAGACUCUGCCUCUGUUUGGACAUCCACCCGGUCGGCCGCCAAAGACUCUGCCCCUGUUUGGCCACCCACACGGCCAGCCACCAGACAUUCUGCCCUUGCUUGGCCGUCCACCCGGUCAGCCACCAGACCCUUCUUUCCAGCCUUCUGUCUGGCCCGGCCUGCCCGCCUGCCUUGCUCUGGACCCCCUCCACCCACCCUAGGUGGAUUUGAUCUGUUUGUUGUGUGUUUUUGGGCUGUCUGGUCCGGUCUGCCCGCCUGCCUUGCUCUGGACCCCCUCCACCCACCCUAGGUGGAUUUGUUCUGUUUGUGUUUAGGGCCGUCUGGAAUCCGGCCCUUAGAGGGGGGGUACUGUAAGGUCUGUGUUCUGUCCGUGUCUAAUUUCUGUGUUUGUCUCCCUUGUGUGGUCGCAUGUCUAGUCCUCGUGCUUCCUUGUUCCCGCCAUGUGCUUUCCCUGUGUUUGUUUGUCUGUGCCAUGUGCCCUCUUGUUGUUGUCCGUGUCUCCACCCCUCACCUGUUCCCAAUCUCCCGGGUUGUGUGUAUCAUUGGUUUCACCUGUGUCCUGUUGGUUCCCCUUGUUUAGUCCACCUGUGUCUUUGUCUGCCCCGCCUUGAUUGUUCUCACCUGUCCCUCGUUAUCUGUUGCCUGUGUGUAUAUAUAGUCCUUGUUUUCUUGUUCCUCGUUGUGUCGUCGUAAAAAUUGUGUUUGAUGGUAUGUUCCUUGUUUUUCCACUGCUCCUCGUGUGUUUCCUAGCGUUUAGCGCUUCUGCCUUGUUCAAGUGAUUACUCGUGCUUCUGACCUCUGCCUGCCCUACAACUAUUCUCCUGCCUAUUCCCUGUUUGGAUUUGUUUGCCUACUUUUGGACUGCCUACCUGUGUACCGAACCCUGCUAGUAAACGUUUAUUCUUCUGAAUCUACCCCUGUGCUG